GUGUGUACAGGUGUGGUCUGCUGAUGCUGGCGUGUCCCACAGUCCACCAUCAGACUUGUUGUGGAAGAGUCAGGCUUCCUGGGGCACAGGAAAUUGCAUAGUUACCGUUCUGAUCAACGCUGAUGGAGAGGAGGUGGCCCGAAGGAGUGUAACCAAGACUCAGGUGGAUGUAGAGAAUGGAGAGGAAGAGGAGAAAGUGGUACAAACCGGCAGAGUGUCAUCCAGAGAGUGUGCCAUCAUGUGAAGCCUUCCUAUUUGGUUGAUGACUUUGACUUCCCUGUUAUAUUUCUUUUUUUCCUCCUUUUUUAAAGCCACUCAGGUAUGAUCCUGUCCAUUGCCGCCUCAUCUGGUGAUUUUAUUGUUCAAGACAACAUGAGAUUUUUUGGACGGCCCUCCACAUUUCUGGACCUACUUUAAUAUGAGUCAUUUAUCUAAAUAUAACUUGCAAUGACAAUGUCAGUGGAUCAUGCAAAGAUCCAAAUGUUGUUGGAGCCCCUACUUGCAUCACUCUACAUGAUAUUGACUCAGGCUACAUCCACACUAAUACCUUUUUGUUUAAAUACGCAUAACUUUUACUCCUAGUGUCUCCCUACACCGGUGUUUUCCAACGCCUAAGACCGAGAGCUACCACUCUAAUAUAUCACUGUAUUUGCUUUGAGGUGACUCUCAAUCUAUGUUUGCUUUAUUCUGUCAAUAACUGUCCAAGGAAAGAAAUCUCUGGUCUUCAUUCCUAGUAUUUUCUGCCACUAAGAAACCCACGGCAGAGUGGACAAUCUACUCCCUGUUUAGACUGGCAUUCCCAGUGUAUGUGAAUGAUCAUGUGAUAUGCUUUUUUUCAGGCGUGUUAAUAUGGCUAGAAUUUCUGUGACAGUGCUAAAAUGCUCAUUUGUAUGGAGAUGGUUUGAAACACUGGUUUAAAAUAAAAAGGUAUUAGUGCGGAGGUAGCCCACCCACAGGCUGUCUUUCAUUCUUCUCUGGUGAGCAUUUUAGUUUCAUCCUACAUGCACAGAGGACGACAAGAAGAAAAAAUGUUUUCUCCAAAAUUCAAUUAAGAGCUGCUCAGGUCAAAUCAAGACAUUUCUGACCUUUAAGGUCUUUAAGUGUUUCCCAUAUAUAACAUUUAUUUGUGUGGCUGCGAGGGGUGUGACGAGACACUUCGUUCACGAGUUGAGACCGGAGACGAUAUUGGGUUCAUGAGAUCGAGACGAGACGAGGUUUUAGCAUUAAACAGUUAAUUUCCUACAUUGUGGUGAAAAUUUCUGCAGCAAUUUAUGAUGUAAAUGUUUGAUUAUGUGAAGGGAAACAAGAUUCAAGUGGUAGGUGACAAUUCUAAAUCUAAAACUCUUAACAGAAUAUAAUGCAGUGCAGGGCUCAGAGAUUCUGUAUUCCUUUCAGAUACGUUUCUGCCAUUGUUGCUGCAGCGGUCUGUGUGACAGAGGGACCAGAGGGCUCUAUGCCACAGGCUUCCCCCGCCACCACUUGGGGAGCUCCUCAACUCCAAUUUUUGUUCCGCCAUAACUUUUCGUAAAACUUUCAAUAUUUGAAAUCUACACAGUUGAUUUCUUACCUCAAAACUUCUCAGAUAUAAUGUAUGAAAAUUGUAGAAUAUAAAACUUUGUUGCUGGCCUCUUUCCGGCGUGCGCAAUCAUGAUGCAGUGAAUAGUGACGAUUCUCUCUGACCAAUUAGUAGUCUGCUGUGUUGUCACGUCACAUUUUAGUAUCGCUUCAGCUUGCUUAGAACCGUGACGGAGGUGAUAUGAAAAAAAGUAGCAGGUAGAACUUUUCCACAAUGGAAAACCAAACAAAGGCGAAUCAAGGCGAGCUGGUACCAUGCAGUGGAAAAGGGGCUUAAAUGUGCUUGUGACACCUUUUCAUCUGUAUUAAUUUUAAUUCAGUCGUAAACGCUUGGACUUUAGUAGCUCCUGUGUUUCAGCAGGUUUCCUGCUCAUGUUCAAAACUUUCUGCACAUUCAGAAUCUCUCCCAUAUAUCUUUGGUCUCUAAAAUGUCCAGAAAAAAGUUGUAAAAUUACGAGACUAACAUCAUCAUUUAAUGAGAAUUCAUGUAAAUUUUACUUAAAAAAGUCUACUUGCUUCUUACUGCUGUGGAUUACAUUACUGCUCCGCUGGUAGUAUUCCCUUCGGAUUGUUUGGAAACCAGAAAAGUGAAAACACUUGUGAUCAGGCAGAAAUCUCACCACAAAUCCACACACAGCUUUAAUAAAGUGCAGCUCACAGUCCCAAACAGAGCAAGGUUUGUGCACUCCACUGCUCCAUUUUAUUUUCACUGCGUUAGAAAAUUGAUGUAAGAGCGUGUGAAAAGUGUCAGUUGCAUGAGUCUCGUCACAUUUUAAUCUUGUCACACCCCUAGUGGUUACCCGUAUAGAUUCUGCCCUGCUACACACUUUCUCUGUAUUUCUUAUUUGUCUUCCUUUGAAAGAUCUGCAUAGUGCAGUUGAGAUUACAGAUUGAGUAGUGACAGCCUGUUAAAAUUAUGCAUUCUUUUGAGUUUGUGUUGAAAGACUGAUUAUCCCAUUAUUAAAAGUUAGCUUGAUGACACUGCUGCUCAGCAGCCAACUGGCAGGUGUUGGACUGAGAGCUUCAGCCGCCACAAAUGAGCUCCAAACCUUUGGGGUACACGUGGUCAUUACAUGACCUGCAGUCAGAAUCCUGAUCAUAGUCCUGAAGCUGUCCCCUAUCCCUCUGCUUUGUCUCUGUCCUUUUCUAUUUCUCUCCCUUGUUUCUUUAAAAAUAGCAAUGAAAUGUGAGAGUUCAUCUGAUCUCAGUCUUAUUGGCAGAGCUUGAAUAAACAGCCAUUUGAAGCUUGCUGGAAAGGUUUGGAGAGGCUUGUGAUGUUAUCUUCCAGUUGCGCAUUGAAGCUGUAUUUCACAGUUUUGACUCACAACCUGUAAUUUCUGAUAGCUGUUAUAUUGAAAAAGUAGAGAAUGAAUUAUCUGUGAGGCCUAUGUGUGGUGUUGUAGUGGAAUAAAUACGUAGAAGAGAGAAAUGGAUCCCCCUCUCUGUAUUGAUCCUGUUGACCACCACUGGUCACCGGACGGACCAGCUUGGCCUCAUGCAGCAUGGCAGCCUUCCAUGUUGAAAAGCUAUUACUCGUGACGUGUAACCAAUUAGAUAGUACUGUCUGUCUCGCGACAGAGAAGUGGCUACAUCAGAGCCAAGGUAGCUCAUUUUAAAAUUAAUUUAACCCUAAUAUGUUUUGUUUUUUUGCUUAUCCAAAAUAUGAUCCGAUCUGUGACUCAAAACCACAGAAUGAUCCGAACGAGUUCCUUCUGAGUAGCACAUUGCUAUAUUUAUAUAGCCCAUUGCUGCCAAGUUCAGUGUUCACUGAUAUUUCAGCUCUGUUUCAGUCACCAACACCUUCCAAAAAUAAGUGUCUCAGAUUUGCCAGAUCUCCUGGCUAGUGCAGUGCUAGAUAAAUAGGUUUACAGCCAUAAAACUUGUUAACUCAUCUGCUGGAAUGCUGUUGUAAUAACAGUCACCAUUUCUUUGCUGGGAUUGUCAUGGAACAGACUGGUCCAGAUUGUCUCUGAAGUUUUACCAGGUGGAUGUGGGUCUGGUGUUUUGAUCCCUAGCUGGGCCACUAAAAUAAUAUGCUUAAAAGAAAAGGCUUGUGAGUGGCUUUGUCAGUGUAAAAUAUUAAACUGACAUGUAUGUACUGCAUAACAUUACAAGCAGUAAAACGGGGAAAACACUUGAUUAACUGAUACGGUGUGUGGCGAUAUUCUGAUGGACUGCAUUAUUUCCAUCUCUGUAUUUUCUUUUGUUUUGGAUUGCAGUACAUUGUAAUAGUAUUGCUCUUGCACCUUGUGUGCCAUCUUGGGAUACUAAUAUGUUCUUGUGUGCUGUCCAUUGCUAGUUAUUUUUCUAUAGAGUUCUUGUCUAUAUAAUCAUUAUGUUUACAUGAAAUGUUUCAUUAUUUUGUGUUUAGGAUUUCUGGGAUGAUUUAGGGUUGGGCUUUCCUGGCCCAAACAGAAGGGUAAAAACUGAUUUGUGGGCUUAAAUAUAUUUGAAGAUUUUGAUAAAACAAUACUGAACACUACUCAUAGUUUUCUGCUUAGAGUUUCAAGUUUUCAGUUGGUGAGUGAAGGAUGUGAAAAUCCUGUUUCAUAUUGGCAGAAGCAACAACUUCUGUGUAGUAAUUGGGAAGUGACCAACAAUGAACAUCUGAGUUAAUUCUGCAUGCCAAAUGAAAGUUUUCAUUCAUGAUUAACUGUUGAACUACUUUUUGUACACACAAUAAAUGUUUUGCAUAAACACA